rnacentral:rRNA from 1 species
AUACGUAGGGGGCGAGCGUUGUCCGGAUUUAUUGGGCGUAAAGGGUUCGCAGGCGGUCUCUUAAGUUAGAUGUGAAAGAUCACGGCUCAACCGUGGUAAGCAUUUAAAACUGGGAGACUUGAGUUAAGGAGAGGAAAGUGGAAUUCCUAGUGUAGCGGUGAAAUGCGUAGAUAUUAGGAGGAAUACCAGUGGCGAAGGCGACUUUCUGGACUUAUACUGACGCUGAGGAACGAAAGCGUGGGGAGCAAACAGGAUUAGAUACCCUGGUAGUCCACGCCGUAAACGAUGAGUGCUAGGUGUCGGGUGUCAAAGCUCGGUGCCGCAGCUAACGCAUUAAGCACUCCGCCUGGGGAGUACGUACGCAAGUAUGAA